rnacentral:rRNA from 1 species
GUGCCAGCCGCCGCGGUAAUACGUGGGCCUCAAACGUUGUCCGGAUUUAUUGGGCGUAAAGCGUCCGCAGGUUGUGCUGUAAGUCAAUGGUCAAAUCCCGGUGCUCAACUCCGGGACUGCCAUAGAUACUGCAACACUUGAGGCUGGGAGAGGCAAGCGGAACUAUCGGUGUAGUCGUAAUAAGCGCUGAGAUCGAUAGGAACACCAAAGGCGAAGGCAGCUUGCUAGAACAUGCCUGACACUCAUGGACGAAAGCGUGGGUAGCGAAGGGGAUUAGAUACCCCCGUAGUCCACGCUGUAAACGAUGCAUACUAGGUAUUGGGAGUAUCGACCCUCCCAGUGCCGUUGAAAAAAGCUAACGCGUUAAGUAUGCCGCCUGGGGAGUACGAUCGCAAGGUUAAAACUCAAAGGAAUAGACGGGGACCCGCACAAGCGGUGGAUCAUGUGGUUUAAUUCGAUGAUACGCGGCGAACCUUACCUGGACUUGACAUAUAGCUGCAAGCCUCUAGAAAUAGAGGCCCCUUUCGAAGGUGCUAUACAGGUGUUGCAUGGUUGCCGUCAGCUCGUGCCGUGAGGUGUACCGUUAAGUCGGGUAACGAGCGCAACCCCUAUCGUAUGUUACAUGUACAUACGAGACUGCCGGCGCAAGCCGGAGGAAGGUGGGGACGACGUCAAAUCAGCAUGACUCUUACGUCCAGGGCUACACACAUGAUACAAUGGCCAGCACAAG